GCCGAAGUGGUGGAAUUGGUAGACACGACGGACUCAAAAUCCGUUGCUGGAUAACGGCGUGCGGGUUCGAUUCCCGCCUUCGGCA
rnacentral:tRNA from 1 species